rnacentral:tRNA from 1 species
GAGGUUGUAGCUCAGUGGUAGAGCGCUUGCCUAGCAUGUGUGAGGUACUGGGUUCAAUCCCAGCACCACA